rnacentral:rRNA from 2 species
GAGUUUGAUCAUGGCUCAGGAUGAACGCUAGCGGCAGGCUUAAUACAUGCAAGUCGAGGGGUAACAUGGGUAGCAAUACCUGAUGACGACCGGCAAACGGGUGCGGAACACGUACGCAACCUUCCCAUAACUGGUGAAUAGCCCUCCGAAAGGAGGAUUAAUACACCGUAACAUAAUGAAGUGGCAUCGCUUUAUUAUUAUAGUCUUCGGACGGUUUUGGAUGGGCGUGCGCCUAAUUAGGUAGUUGGCGGGGUAACGGCCCACCAAGCCUGCGAUCAGUAACUGGUGUGAGAGCACGACCAGUCACACGGGCACUGAGACACGGGCCCGACUCCUACGGGAGGCAGCAGUAAGGAAUAUUGGUCAAUGGACGAAAGUCUGACCCAGCCAUGCCGCGUGAAGGAUGAAGGCGUUCUGCGUUGUAAACUUCUUUUAUCAGGGAAGAAAUUAUGGUUUUUACUGUAACCGACGGUACCUGAGGAAUAAGCACCGGCUAACUCCGUGCCAGCCGCCGCGGU